CGGCAUAAGCGCAAAUACAGAUAAUUCACAAAAAACAUUUUGUUUAACAAUAUUCACCUGAAUGGUUAACUGCAAAUAUGUACCUGCGGGAGUCCAACAUUUGGGAACAGAUCCUGACCAAACACCUAUUCAGAUUUGGUUAUCGGUUGUCCUCUGCCCCUCAACGCCCCCUUGAACCCCACCGCGCGAGGACUCCACGUUGGCCCGGCCGGAGGGGUUUGUGUGCUGGUGGCCUGUCAGCUCAGUCGUCCCCUGAUUAACAUCGAUCAGCCCUGUAAUGGCCGACCAGUCCCCAACUGUCCUGCUGAACUGAUAGAACUAUUGUUUCCGCAGUCUGAGGGAGGGGAAACUGACUCAUUAUCCCGAAGAGUGAUUUGAUGUGGGUCCACAAGCAUGACAAGAGUCUAUUUGAUUUUAGACUAGGUCAGAAGUAUGACCAGGUGGACAAGGACAGGGACAGCAACGGGCCCCCCAAACCAGGUAAUCCGCAGGUGUGGACCAGGACCUCAUCUCCUCCUAAAAUUUAAAACUGGAGGAGACUGAGAAAAGUUAGUAGUACAUCCCUCAUAUCCCCCAGCACAAUAAUAAUAAUAAUAAUGUUAAUGUUGGAGAUGCCCUUCUCAAAUGUUCAAUAAUAAUUUACUCCUUUUUCUUUUGGGCCCUGGGUCCAUAACAACCUUUAGGCAACAAGGACGAGGUACUGUUCUUCAGGGUUUUUUGCGUUUUCCCAAAUUCCCCUUGCAAUCGUAUAGGGUGUUUACAUUAUAUUUUGCCUUUGGAAAUUGCUUUAUAUGUAAUGAGCCAAGCCUUUUUUCCUGUACAGUCUUUAGGGUUAAUUGAGUUGCCCACUGAAUUUUGACAUCUCUAACACGAUAGGGCAGUUGUCACUAAUACCUGGUGUUAAAAUUUAAUCUGGGACAAAUGUUCAAUGUAUAGACACUCAAUGUUGACUUUGCAGGCUGCUUUAAGUUAUGUGGUGAUUAGCUGUGGGAGAUUUAGCACAACACUGAAUACUAUCUGAAUCCUGUGUUUCACAGUCCAAGUUAAAAUCUCCCGGGAUAAUUACUUUUUGUUUGACAGAAGGGGACAGAAGACAGAAGGUGAAUUGGGUUUCACAUGAAGCUCCACAACACAAAGCAAAACCAAUCUUAUCCGUCUCAUUUUCUAUACCAAUAUAAACACAAGCCUGGUUCCCAGAAAAUAAAAUUAAUGUUUCCACUGAGCCAUGACCUGCUCGAUCACUCUUUUGUCAAGACAGAUUUUAAUACCAGUUCUUGACCUGUGCCUUUAGGGUCGUGAAGUGGCUUCAGCGUUGCCUCUGUUGCUGGUAAGUCCAGAGAGUUGGUGUGCCAUUGAUCCAAUUUACAGCGUGUCUGGGAUGAGAAACCUGAAUGGUGCCCAUUCAGCAGCUUAUGCAACUCCUUUUGGAGGCUGAACACUCAGUCUGCUUACGGCAGCAAAGCCCCAAGCCGUGCCAAAGGGAAUAGGUCCACUUCUAAGGAAUUCGAAACGCCCGCACGCACAACACCGUGCUCGACCUUUUGAAGGUGAUGCACCUCUGAGCCGAUGUCCGCAGUCGUUACUGAACUUCAAAUGUCCGUCAGGGUUAGGGCCUUCGUGACUGCAGUGUGAUGUCAUCCUGCCGAUGUGGGCCCGACCCGACUACGCCCGACCGGCGUGCACGGCCAUUUCACCGUGUCACUCCAAAGCGGUCGUCGAUUGGUUUCACACCGCAGUGGCCAACGCUUCAGACUGCAGAUCCAGGUGGAACCGGAGACAUUCAUAGGGUAGAUUAGGGUCUUGUGUGGUUUAUCCAACAUAGGUCUCUGGGCUGUGUAAUAAGACCUUGGACCCCAUUUGCUCUCUUUUGAGAACUAACGUGCGUCUCGUGAGAUGAGAAAAAAGCCAAGCAGUUUUUUGUUCCACGGCGGUUAAAUUCAUUUGCACAGCGUUAUCUAUUAACACAUCAAACUUCUGUAGCUCUGCAGUGAGCUUGCCCAAAGUCCUGCACUGGCAACACUGGGCUAGCCCAAAGUCCUGCACUGGCAACACUGGGCUAGCCCAAAGACCUGCACUGGCAUUACUGGGCUAGCCCAAAGACCCCUGAGCAACAUUACUGCGUCAACUAAAUACUUUGACCGUUCAGAACACCUCACGUCAAGACGCUAGUUUCACUGCAGAGUCAUUACAAACACUUUAUCUUUAAGUCCGGGUUGGGGAGGUCAUCUAUAUGUCUUGUAUUCUGUGGAUCAUGGCCAACCACCAGGGGUUAAUCGUAUUAGUGUAGAAAGGGCUCAACCGAUUACUUUGCACGAAACCUGCAUAGGUUCUCCUCUCACACGGCGAUAAUCUGAAACCCUGUGCAAACACUCAUAUGCUAUCCUGCACACAGGCAUGGUUGUUGUUGUGCCAAGCUGUCCAGUAGCACCGCUCGUCUCCAUGGGGACGAUGCCAAUGCUUCUGGCUCAUUAAGGAUUCUUCCCAAAACAUUUGGAGAGCAGAGUUGCGGGUGACAUGCCCAGUAGGGGGGGGGCAUGUGUGUGUGUGUGUUUUUUACAUGUGUGUGUUUGUCUGUGUGUGGUAUGUUUGAGGGAGGUUUUUGUUUUGAUCUGGCCAUGUGGACCUUUCCUUAGUAAUAGUGAACCAUUCUGGCAGAGUUCAUGUCCACAUCAUCUUCAUCAUCAUCUUCCAAAAACCCUCUGACUCUCGGGGAAGCCGUUUCCCUGGCAAACAGCCAUUAUGUUUACAUGCAUUUAUAUAAAGAAUUAAUGUGUGGGAACUGGGGGUGGGGGGUUUAGGCCAGGGAUGAACCCAUAGUCUAAGUGUCCUACUUCUUCCCAUUAGCUUAUUCACUCACGCACACGCACACACACACACACACACACACACACACACUAACCCCCCCCCAUUCUCCCACCCGGUCGACGUGGCAACAAAGGAGCGAACCGGCUGUGAAGACUGAGUCCUUCUGUCAGUGGAGCCCCCACUAAAUUUGUAGGGGAGCUGAAUGAGGCCACUGUGUGUGAAUGUUCAAUCACUACAGUCAGAUCCCACCCUCCUCUCCCCACCCAACCCAUCCAAAAGGUCCACUAGCCACCAGGAACGGGACCAGAGGUGGCCAGCGGUCCUGUCUGUCUCUCUGUCUGUCUGUGUGAUGUGUUUGUGUUGAGGUGUCUGAAAUAGGGUGGGUUCUGGAGGGUGGGUGUUGUCUGUGAAGCCUUGUUAGGACACAGGAAGGAGGGAAGACUCCUUUCAACCAAAAACACAAAGCAAUGUGUUCUAUGUUUCACACACUUUUACUGAGACGCUCUCUGUUUGUGUGUGUGUGUGUGUGUGUGUGUGUUUGUGUGAGAGAGAGAGCGAGAGAGAGAGGACUGUAACCUAUCUGCAAUGUAGAGAGCAGACUGCACUUCUGUUGAGAACGGGGAUCCUGUGACGGGGUGAGACAGGGUGGGCCCCCCCGUCCCGUCCCCCAAAAGCAGAAAAGCUAGACUAGCUUGACAGCUUAGCCGUCUGGUUCUGAAGGAGGAGUAGGCGACCAGACAGCGCACUCAAACCUCCCUGCGCACUCACUGCUCCCCCGGUGGCAACGUCUUGCUACUACGGCGCAUCAAUUCAGAUUACGUCAUACUCCACCCACCCCCCCGACCUCCGUCCCGCCACACUGAUGCUGAAGUGUAGUUUUACAUGGAUACACACACACAGCACGUGAGCUUUCAUUCGCAGGCGAGGUUAUGCAAGAGGAUUGUCUGUGUCCUUGAGCCUCUCGUGGAGGCCCGUUUCCCGAUUGCAUUGUGGGACGUUUUCCAUCCGGGGCCGCUGGCGGUAACGGCUAGAAGUGGCGGAACGCCACCCGGUCUACCUGCCAAAGAACGGUGGGAGCGAGGGAGUUAAUCACCCCGGAGACGGAACCGGCAGCGCAACCAAAGGCCAAUUGGGGCAGGACUAAUCCUCGUCGUCACGGCAACCGACCGGCUGCAGCCAGUCUACAGCUUCUAAAAUCGACCUGCAUUGAGAGCUUUUUGAGAUUGCCCUUAGAUUUCUUCUUGCUACUGUAGUAUGAAAGGACACAUCCAUUUAGUACAGAUUUGGGGAUAAUUUAGGAUCAGUCUGUGGAAUUGACAAUACAGAGAUAUUGUCAUAGAAAUAGAAUGAACAGGGAGGGAAUGUGGCAGUACGGUUCUUUAUGUUCUGUUUUGGUUUCUGUAAUUUGCUCACCCUUAAAAAUGUUUAAAUGUCUGUAUUAUAUGUGUAACUUCUUGUUUUUUAAUUGUAUAAAAUUGCCACAGUUAGAGAUUCUAAGUCCUUUCUAUUCCUUCUAUAUCUAUGGAUAUUGUUAGCUGAUCCCAGGCUAGUCUUUAAGCUUCCUGUGGGGACCUAAGUUCAAGAGCAACAAGGUGACAUGAUGGAGUUAGGGUUUUUGUAUAAGCCUUCCUUAGCCUACAUUGAAGCGUUAGGCAAUUCUGGAACUCCCGUUUUCAACAGAGUGACAAAGAUAGAAAGAACUAAGUUAAGUUUGGUCUGCACAAGGUUUUUUGGCGGGUCACCUAAAGAAAAAAAGCUCUACUUCUAGGUUCCGGGAUUAUGGGGUUAACUUUAGGGUUAAGCAUUAGGGCUGGUUUGAGUUUAGACAUAAAGGUUAGGUUAUUGAGAUUAAAGUUAGGUUUAGGGAUUAUGCAUUAUUUGUUUUCUUCUCCCUGUAAUGUGAAUGUUGUCCUUUGCUGUCCAAACACAGGCCUCCAUCCCCUGCAGCAAGACCCAUCUUCCAGCUGUGUGCAUCUGUGUCCAACACACACACACUCUAAAUCCAUUUAGAGUGCAGUAUUUGGGAUAAAGGUGAUCUGUAGAUGGUGAUUCUGCAAAGCUGCAACUACAUGAUAAAACUGCCAUGUUUGCAGAGUGUAUUUACUCACAGUGGCACUGCAUCCAAUAAAACAGUACAUUAUCUUUAUAGAGGUGUUCAUGCAGGACCCAGUAGAACAGUACAUUAUCCUAAUAGAGGUGUUUAUACUGUACCCAAUAGACUGUACAUUAUCCUAAUAGAGGUGUUUAUACUGUACCCAAUAGACAGUACAUUAUCCUAAUAGAGGUGUUUAUACUGUACCCAAUAGACAGUACAUUAUCCUAAUAGAGGUGUUUAUACAGGACCCAGUAGAACAGUUUCAUUUUCCUCAAAAGGUUGUUUACACAGGACACUACAGAAAAACACAUUAUCCUAAUAUAGGUGUUUGUACAGAACCCAAUAGAACUGUUGUGAUUGGACUGAUGAUAG
ensembl:lncRNA